AAAUAUUGGCAUAUGCUGGGGCAAACAUUUUGCCCAUCGCGGUGCCCCGCACCUGAAGAUACAUCCGGCCAUCGAACUCAAAGUCGUUCCGGGUAUCUCACCUGGAACUGUCCAUAAGGUCUGGUCCAUGUGGAUCUUUGGGAGGAGUGAUACACAUCCCUGGACAAUUCCUGUUCAUCUGUACUCUUGGGUGUAGGGAUAAAGUUGUGGAGACAAUUUUUCAAGGACCGCCGCGAUGUGCCGAAAGGUAGCCCCUGGAAAACUGUCCACCUGCGCC